rnacentral:siRNA from 1 species
UCGGUUGACCGGUCGAGCAUGUA